AGGUUGCAGAAGCAGAGGAGUGGGCAGGGUUGGUAGAGCGCAAGUGUUCUGAACUUCUUGCGCUCUUCUUGUGAACCUUUUUAAAAAAACGUUACUUUAUUAAGAAAUUAUUUAAUAAUACAUAAAAAAAAACUCCAGCAGUGCUUCGGUUGUUUUGAUGGGACCGACCACAUAGCAACUGGAAUCGUUUUUCUGUCUUUGAUUGAUGCUGUUUAAUGGAAAACUUGAGUGGAAAUUUAUUUCCGAUGAGGUUAUUCCCAUGAAAUUUUCACCAGACAUCAGUAUUAACUCGAGAAAUCUGGAAAUAUAAAGAACUCACAACAUUAAAGUCCGUAAAUAAAGUGAAAUGACACAGGAAAAAAGUAUUGAAGAUGUUAAGAAAAAGCAGUUCUCCAUGGAAGGAACCAGCUGAAAUCCAUAAGUAAUUAUACCCUCUAUCUGUGCAAAUUAAUAUCAGCUGGGUUAGUAAAUUGAUGGUCUAUAAAAAGGCUUUUCGUUACCAAGGUGCCACACAAGAAACAUCUCAUGAUGGGUAAAAGCAAAGCGCUCUCCCAAGACCUUCGCAACCUUAUUGUUGCAAAACAUAUUGAUGGAAUCCAAUACAGAUGUAUUUUAAAACUUCAGAAUUUUCCAGUAAGCACCAUUGAGGCCAUUAUCCGCAAGUGGAAGCAACGUCACGCCGUCAUCAACCGGCCACGCACAGGAACUCCACGCAAUAUUACUGACCAGGGAGUCAGAAGAAUAGCCAGAAGAGUAGCCCAAGAGCCAAGGACCACUUGGAAAGAGCUCCAGAAAGACUUGGAGGCAGCAGGUGCCAUCGUCACAGAGAAAACAAUAGGCGAUGCACUCCACUGCUCACGCUCACCCGCAAGACUCCAUUACUAAAGAAAAGGCAUGUCGAAGCUCGUUUAAAGUUUGCUACAACUCAUUUGGACAAGCCUAUGAAAUACUGGGAGAGUGUAGUCUGGUCAGACGAGAGCAAAAUUGAACUUUUUGUCUGUCAUACUACACACCAUGUUUGGAGAAGUAAUGGCACUGCACAUCACCCUGAAAACACUACACCAACAGUGAAGUUUGGAGGUGGAAGCAUCAUGGUGUGGGGCUGUUUUUCAUCACAUGGUACUGGAACUUCAUAGUGAAGGAACGAUGAAUGGAGCCCUUUACUGGGAGAUUCUUGAGAAGAAUCUGCUGCCAUCCACCAGGAUGAUGAGACGUGGGUGGACCUUCCAGCAGGACAACGAUCCAAAGCAUACAGCAAAGGAAAAACUAUUGGUUUCAGAGGAAAAAAAAUCAAGGCGUAAGAAUGGCCCAGUCAAUCACCUGAUUUGAAUCCAACUGAAAAAGAUUGAAAGACGAUAUGUUUAGAAGAAUGAGUCAAAAUCACACCUGAAUACUGCGUCCCGUUAAUUUCUUCAUACAGGAAACCUCUUGAAGCGGUCUUUACAAACAAAGGCUUCUCCACUAUGUAUUAAAUAAAUUUCAGUCAGCGUGUUCAAUACCUUUUUUUUUUCUUUUUUUCCCCCCCUGUGUCAUUCCUUUAUUAACGCACAAUUUAAUUUAUGGACUUUAAUGAUUGGAUUUCUUUAUAGCCCAUAUUUGACCAUACUUAAUUAAAAUAGUGUAGUCUAUAUGUUGUCAUAUAUUCUUGCAGUGGUAUAAUAUAAUGGGACUAUUUUUCUUUAGUGGUAUAGCCUACGUGUGAUUAUUUUUCUUUGCAGUGGUAUAGCGUAUAUAUAUGACCUGACAUUUUUAUAGUAGUGUAGCAAUACAUUCUUACAAUAUUAUAGCCUACAUAUGACCAUAAAUCAUUACAGUAGUAUAGCCUGCAUGCAACAAUGCUUUACUACUGUAGUAUAGCCUAUAUUUGACCAUUAUAGUACUAUAGACUACAUGUGGCCAUAGAUUCUUACAGUAGUAUAGCACAUGUGACCAACCCUUAUUAGUGUAGUAUAGAUUACAUGUGACCAUUCACUACAGUAUAGUCCAUAUUUGACUAUACAUUCUUACAGUAGCAUAACCGAUCAGUGACCAUACAGUACAGUAGUAUACUCUAUACAUGACUCUACAUUAUUACAGUAGUGUAGACUACAUGAGACAGUAUUGUUAAAGGAGUGUAGCCUAUGUGUUAUCUUGCGUUAUUACUUUGUUCAGCAGCUCUGUGAAUAACAAGAAAGGUAUGUGAGGAUUCUAAGUAUCGGUGUGCCGAUUCAGAGUUUAAUAGGCUGUAUCUCUUGCAGUACUACAACUUAAGUGUGGACAUAAACUAACUAAAUAUCUCUAUUACUGUAUUAUAAUCUACCAUUGGCCAUGACAUUGUCUUUUACUGUACUAUAACCUGUGGCUGUUAUACUUGAUCUCUAUUACAGUUGUAUAGCUUAUGUGUUAUAGUAAUAUUAAAUUAUCUAAACAUUCCAACAGUACAGGCACUAUGAAAUAGUUUACAUAUGACUCUAAAUACUUUAUUCUGUAUUACAGUAGUAUAACUCAUUUUGAGUUGGGAUUGAAGUGUUAAAGCAUAUUUACCAAGAUCUGCUGUUCCACUAUAUAAUAAACGUGAAUGAACUGUG